CACACCGGGACUGAGACACGGCCCGGACUCCUACGGGAGGCAGCAGUGGGGAAUAUUGGACAAUGGGGGCAACCCUGAUCCAGCCAUGCCGCGUGUGUGAAGAAGGCCUUUUGGUUGUAAAGCACUUUAAGCAGUGAAGAAGACUCCGUGGUUAAUACCCACGGACGAUGACAUUAGCUGCAGAAUAAGCACCGGCUAACUCUGUGCCAGCAGCCGCGGUAA
rnacentral:rRNA from 1 species